GCUUGCUUAGGCAGCCCAUGACUAAAACUGGAAUGAUAUAGAGAAGAUUAGCAUGGCUCCUGUACAAGGAUGAUACACAAAUUUGUGAAGUGUUUCAUAUUUUU
ensembl:snRNA U6 U6 spliceosomal RNA